rnacentral:rRNA from 1 species
CAGUAGCCGCGGUAAUACAGAGGGUGCGAGCGUUAAUCGGAUUUACUGGGCGUAAAGCGUGCGUAGGCGGCUUUUUAAGUCGGAUGUUAAAUCCCUGAGCUUAACUUAGGAAUUGCAUUCGAUACUGGGAAGCUAGAGUAUGGGAGAGGAUGGUAGAAUUCCAGGUGUAGCGGUGAAAUGCGUAGAGAUCUGGAGGAAUACCGAUGGCGAAGGCAGCCAUCUGGCCUAAUACUGACGCUGAGGUACGAAAGCAUGGGGAGCAAACAGGAUUAGAUACCCCGGUAGUCCCUGUCUCUUAUAC